GAGAGAGAGAGAGAGCUACAAAGAAACUCUUCUGACUGAGAAGCCAUGCAGACGCAGUUGACUCUUCCACAUACCUCAAGGAGAUGGAGAAGGCCCCUCGAGACCUUGGCGCCCUAAUUUCCUAGGAGAAAUGCGCUCCUUUUAUGCUUUUCGUUUAGCAGGGAUUUGCUGGGCAGGCGGCAUGAUGCUGGUACUUAUGAUGCUAAAACGAAAACAAAGAACUGCAAACAAGGAACUGAAAAUUGCAGUUUAUUUCUGAGGUGAGCUUUUUCCGUUUCUCUUUCUUGUGAGUCUAUCAGUUGAGCUAAUGAUGUCUUUCUUCCAAUGUCGGUUUAAAUUUGAUGGCGAUGUUCAAUCUCUGUCCCAACUGUUAUGAUGA